rnacentral:rRNA from 1 species
UUAAGUGAAUAAGGGCGCACGGUGGAUGCCUUGGCACUAGGAGCCGAUGAAGGACGGGACUAACACCGAUAUGCUUCGGGGAGCUGUAAGUAAGCUUUGAUCCGGAGAUUUCCGAAUGGGGGAACCCAGCAUCUUUUAUAGGAUGUUACUUUUCAGUGAAUACAUAGCUGAUUAGAGGUAGACGCAGAGAACUGAAACAUCUAAGUACCUGCAGGAAGAGAAAGAAAAAUCGAUUCCCUGAGUAGCGGCGAGCGAAACGGGAAAAGCCCAAACCAAGAGGCUUGCCUCUUGGGGUUGUAGGACUCCGAUACGGUAGUCCAGUGAGAUAGUCGAAGGACCUGGAAAGGUCUGCUAGAAAGGGUAAAAGCCCCGUAGACAAAAUUUGACUGGCACCUAGGAGAAUCCUGAGUACGGCGGAACACGAGGAAUUCCGUCGGAAUCCGGGAGGACCAUCUCCCAAGGCUAAAUACUCCCUAGUGACCGAUAGUGAACCAGUACCGUGAGGGAAAGGUGAAAAGCACCCCGGAAGGGGAGUGAAAUAGAUCCUGAAACCGUGUGCCUACAACAAGUUAGAGCCCGUUAAUGGGUGAUAGCGUGCCUUUUGUAGAAUGAACCGGCGAGUUACGAUUACUUGCGAGGUUAAGUUGAAAAGACGGAGCCGCAGCGAAAGCGAGUCUGAAUAGGGCGAAUGAGUAAGUGGUCGUAGACCCGAAACCAUGUGAUCUACCCAUGUCCAGGUUGAAGGUGCGGUAAAACGCACUGGAGGACCGAACCCACGUACGUUGAAAAGUGCGGGGAUGAGGUGUGGGUAGCGGAGAAAUUCCAAACGAACUUGGAGAUAGCUGGUUCUCUCCGAAAUAGCUUUAGGGCUAGCCUCAGAGUAAGAAUGAUGGAGGUAGAGCACUGUUUGGACUAGGGGCCCAUCUCGGGUUACCGAAUUCAGAUAAACUCCGAAUGCCAUCCAUUCAUCUCUGGGAGUCAGACUGUGAGUGAUAAGAUCCAUAGUCGAAAGGGAAACAGCCCAGACCACCAGCUAAGGUCCCCAAAUAACUAUUAAGUGGAAAAGGAUGUGGGGUUGCACAGACAACUAGGAUGUUGGCUUAGAAGCAGCCACCAUUUAAAGAGUGCGUAAUAGCUCACUAGUCGAGUGACCCUGCGCCGAAAAUGUACCGGGGCUAAAUAGUUUACCGAAGCUGUGGAACACACCAAUAGGUGUGUUGGUAGGAGAGCGUUCUAAGGGCGUUGAAGGUAGAUCGUGAGGACUGCUGGAGCGCUUAGAAGUGAGAAUGCCGGUAUGAGUAGCGAAAGACAGGUGAGAAUCCUGUCCACCGAAUGACUAAGGUUUCCUGGGGAAGGCUCGUCCGCCCAGGGUUAGUCGGGACCUAAGCCGAGGCCGAUAGGCGUAGGCGAUGGAUAACAGGUUGAUAUUCCUGUACCCGUUGUUUUUGUUUGAGCAAUGGAGGGACGCAGGAGGCUAAGGAAUCAGACGAUUGGAAAUGUCUGUCCAAGCAAUAAGUCUUGAUGUGAGUCAAAUGCUUACGUCUUUAAGGACAAGUUGUGAUGGGGAGGGAAAUAAUAGUACCGAAGUUCCUGAUGUCACACUGCCGAGAAAAGCUUCUAGUGAGAAAACAAUGGCCCGUACCGCAAACCGACACAGGUAGUCGAGGAGAGAAUCCUAAGGUGAGCGAGAGAACUCUCGUUAAGGAACUCGGCAAAAUGACCCCGUAACUUCGGGAGAAGGGGUGCUGAUCUAACGAUCAGCCGCAGUGAAUAGGCCCAAGCGACUGUUUAUCAAAAACACAGGUCUCUGCAAAAUCGAAAGAUGACGUAUAGGGGCUGACGCCUGCCCGGUGCUGGAAGGUUAAGAGGAGUGCUUAGCGUAAGCGAAGGUACGAAUUGAAGCCCCAGUAAACGGCGGCCGUAACUAUAACGGUCCUAAGGUAGCGAAAUUCCUUGUCGGGUAAGUUCCGACCCGCACGAAAGGCGUAACGAUUUGGGCACUGUCUCAACGAGAGACUCGGUGAAAUUUUAGNNNNNNNNNNNNNNNNNNNNNNNNNNNNNNNNNNNNNNNNNNNNNNNNNNNNNNNNNNNNNNNNNNNNNNNNNGACAGGACGGAAAGACCCCAUGGAGCUUUACUGCAGUUUGAUAUUGAGUGUUUGUACCACAUGUACAGGAUAGGUAGGAGCCGUAGAAGUCGGGACGCUAGUUUCGACAGAGGCGCUGGUGGGAUACUACCCUUGUGUUAUGACCACUCUAACCCGCACCACUNNNNNNNNNNNNNNNNNNNNNNNNNNNNNNNNNNNNNNNNNNNNNNNNNAUCGUGGUGGGAGACAGUGUCAGAUGGGCAGUUUGACUGGGGCGGUCGCCUCCUAAAGAGUAACGGAGGCGCCCAAAGGUUCCCUCAGAAUGGUUGGAAAUCAUUCGCAGAGUGUAAAGGCACAAGGGAGCUUGACUGCGAGACCUACAAGUCGAGCAGGGACGAAAGUCGGGCUUAGUGAUCCGGUGGUUCCGCAUGGAAGGGCCAUCGCUCAACGGAUAAAAGCUACCCUGGGGAUAACAGGCUUAUCUCCCCCAAGAGUCCACAUCGACGGGGAGGUUUGGCACCUCGAUGUCGGCUCGUCGCAUCCUGGGGCUGUAGUCGGUCCCAAGGGUUGGGCUGUUCGCCCAUUAAAGCGGCACGCGAGCUGGGUUCAGAACGUCGUGAGACAGUUCGGUCCCUAUCCGUCGCGGGCGUUGGAAAUUUGAGAGGAUCUGUCCUUAGUACGAGAGGACCGGGAUGGACUUACCGCUGGUGUACCAGUUGUCUCGCCAGAGGCAUCGCUGGGUAGCUAUGUAGGGAAGGGAUAAACGCUGAAAGCAUCUAAGUGUGAAGCCCACCUCAAGAUGAGAUUUCCCAUUUCUUUAAGAAAGUAAGAUCCCUGAGAGAUGAUCAGGUAGAUAGGUCAGAAGUGGAAGUGCAGUGAUGUACGGAGCGGACUGAUACUAAUCGAUCGAGGACUUAACCAA